AUGAACGCUAGCGGCAGGCCUAACACAUGCAAGUCGAGGGGCAUCACGAGGUAGCAAUACUUUGGUGGCGACCGGCGCACGGGUGCGUAACGCGUAUGUAACCUACCUAUAACAGGGGCAUAACACUGAGAAAUUGGUACUAAUUCCCCAUAAUAUUCGGAGAGGCAUCUCUCCGGGUUGAAAACUCCGGUGGUUAUAGAUGGACAUGCGUUGUAUUAGCUAGUUGGUGAGGUAACGGCUCACCAAGGCAACGAUACAUAGGGGGACUGAGAGGUUAACCCCCCCACACUGGUACUGAGACACGGACCAGACUCCUACGGGAGGCAGCAGUGAGGAAUAUUGGUCAAUGGACGCAAGUCUGAACCAGCCAUGCCGCGUGCAGGAAGACGGCUCUAUGAGUUGUAAACUGCUUUUGUACGAGGGUAAACUCACCUACGUGUAGGUGACUGAAAGUAUCGUACGAAUAAGGAUCGGCUAACUCCGUGCCAGCAGCCGCGGUAAUACGGAGGAUUCAAGCGUUAUCCGGAUUUAUUGGGUUUAAAGGGUGCGUAGGCGGUUUGAUAAGUUAGAGGUGAAAUCCCGGGGCUUAACUCCGGAACUGCCUCUAAUACUGUUAGACUAGAGAGUAGUUGCGGUAGGCGGAAUGUAUGGUGUAGCGGUGAAAUGCUUAGAGAUCAUACAGAACACCGAUUGCGAAGGCAGCUUACCAAACUAUAUCUGACGUUGAGGCACGAAAGCGUGGGGAGCAAACAGGAUUAGAUACCCUGGUAGUCCACACCGUAAACGAUGAUUACUAGGUGUUGGAGGAUUGACCCCUUCAGUGCCGCAGUUAACACAAUAAGUAAUCCACCUGGGGAGUACGACCGCAAGGUUGAAACUCAAAGGAAUUGACGGGGGCCCGCACAAGCGGAGGAACAUGUGGUUUAAUUCGAUGAUACGCGAGAAACCUUACCCGGGCUUGAAAGUUACUGACGAUUCUGGAAACAGGAUUUCCCUUUGGGGCAGGAAACUAGGUGCUGCAUGGUUGUCGUCAGCUCGUGCCGUGAGGUGUCGGGUUAAGUCCCAUAACGAGCGCAACCCCUACCGUUAGUUGCCAUCAGGUCAAGCUGGGCACUCUGGCGGGACUGCCGGUGUAAGCCGAGAGGAAGGUGGGGAUGACGUCAAAUCAGCACGGCCCUUACGUCCGGGGCUACACACGUGUUACAAUGGUAGGUACAGAGGGUCGCUACCCCGCGAGGGGAUGCCAAUCUCGAAAGCCUAUCUCAGUUCGGAUUGGAGGCUGAAACCCGCCUCCAUGAAGUUGGAUUCGCUAGUAAUCGCGCAUCAGCCAUGGCGCGGUGAAUACGUUCCCGGGCCUUGUACACACCGCCCGUCACACCAUGAGAGUCGGGAACACCCGAAGUCCGUAGCCUAACCUGAAAAGGAGGGCGCGGCCGAAGGUGGGUUCGAUAAUUGGGGUG
rnacentral:rRNA from 1 species